UUUAUCGUUGCGAACCGACAGAGGGUGAAAUA
rnacentral:scRNA from 1 species